UUCUGUGUGCGGGAGCUCGAUGAUUGGGGGAGUUUAGAUCUGUGGUUUCAUUCUCAAAUUCUAUUCGUAUGGAUUGAGAUAGAGAUGAGAAGGUAGGUCCCUUAUUCAUGUAGGUUUUCUCUGUACCACUAAAUGUUUGUUUGAUUUUUUUCCAUGUAGGUUCUCUCUGAUUUUGCAUUAGUCUAUGAUCUUAGUCUUCAUUCUUUUAUUUUUAGUUUAUGAGAUUUCAGUAUUUGAUUCACUUAUUCUUGGUUUGGCAGAUAUUCAGUAUCUCUGUUCUUAUUAUUCAAUUUUUUUAUUUCUCAGAUUAGGAUUUUAGUACCUUUUCUUUUAUUAGUCAUCAGUUUUCUUCUUUAUUCAAUCAUAUUCAGCCUUAGUUCUUGUUCAGUCUUUCUUUAACUUCUUUUGUCCUUAGUCUCCAAUUUUCCUCUUUCUUCAGUCAUAUUCAGUCACACUUUGUUCAGUCUUUCAUUAUCUACUUCAGUCUGUAGUGCUCCUUGUGCAUAUAUACUUUGUUUUGCUCAUUCUUCUUUCUUAGCUUUGUUCUCUCAUUUUGUAUCGGCACAACCAAUAAUUCACAAGAUCAUCUAAUCCACAUAGGCAAAGGAAGAUUUUUCGUAGUAAAAUUCAGUAUAGUGGAGGGAAAGGAAGGUUUUUCGUUGUAAAAUUCACUACACUAGAGGGAAAAAGUUUCAAUGUUAUUAUCUAAUUGUUUCAUGGUUUUCUUAGUCAUGACUUUCUUUUCUCUACCAGCUUUAGGGGGAGGUCCAUCUAAUUUGACUUUGCCCUGGGCUGUCUGCAGGUGGGUUAAACAACCAGAUUUGGUGGAUUAGUUGGACUUGUAAAUAAUUUUUUCUGAUCCCAACACACUUUAUAUAGAGAAGUAGUAUUUCUUCAUAUUGUUACUUUUUUUGUUUGCUUUUGUGCUUAUUGCUCAUAUUGUUAAAUGUUUGUUGGGGCCAGUUCUUUUGGGCAAUUCUCCCAGAAUUGACCCCCUCCCCAGCUUCUCCCAGAAUUGCUACUCCAUCCUUUUUUACAAUUCCUAGCUAGUUAAGGUCUAAUUAGCUAGGAAUUGUAAAAAAAGAUGGAGUGGCAAUUCUGGGAGAAGCUGGGGAGGGGGUCAAUUCUGGGAGAAUUGCCCAAAAGAACUGGCCCUGACUCUUCUUUCUCUGGUCACCUUCAGUGCACAUGUUUCUUCAUUAUUUCAGUAACUACCUUCUCAUUGUUCCGCCUUCAUUUCUCAAAUCCAUGCUUAUCAGUUAUCCCUCUGUAUGCAUCAGUGAUCAAUAUUUCUCUUCAGCCUCAUUAUUUCUUUUCGAGAGUGCGCCAAAGGCUUACCUUAGCUUUAUAGAAGGAAGGAGUGAUAUUUACAAGUCAGCCUCAUUAUUUCAUUAAGUCCCUGCUCUACCCAGCCUUCAUAAAUUCAGUAUGCCCCUGUGCAUUAUGUAUAAAGACUUUUUUGAGCAUUCUUAUUUUUUAUCUUUUUGUUUCACCAGGAGGUUUUAUUACUAACCAGAGGAAGUUUCUUCUCCCACUUCGUUUUAGCGCAUGUUGUUUCAGAUGUGUUAUGUAAUAGUACUACAUAGAAGAGUUUUUUGCUUCAAGAAGUGUUAUGUAAUAGCAUAAAAACUACAUAAAUAGUUCGUUCUGUUCUGUUUUUUUUUCACUAGACAUUGAUGCUAUUUGUGCUCUUUAGCAGUGACACCAUAGUCAGUUAGCAUUUUCUGUCUUUUAGCUACACUGAGCCUUUGAUUUGUUUGUACCAUUAGGCUGUAGGGAAAUAUUACUAUAUGUAACAUGUAUUUUUUUUGUUCUUAUAAGAUGUUGUUUCUCAUUUCUGAAAUUUAUUUCUUGAUGCAGCUUCAUUCGGAUUUAUGUGAAUAUAAGCGUAAGAGGUCCACUGGGAAUGAUACAAAAUAAUUUCAGACGUGAGUAUCCGGAUCGCAUUGCUACUGGUCGUCUCUUGCGAUGGCGUACAGCGGGCUUUUGACAAAGCCAAGUCAUGGCCUCAUGAGGAUGCUUUUGGAUUAACUGUAGUGCAUUGUACCGUUUUAUGCUCCAUGCGAGAGUUGUACAUAUCCUCAUUAGAUGUACCCCUGCCUAUGAUGGUUCUGAACUCAAAUAUUAGAGUAUCUGUAUAUUUGAUCAAUGUGGUACUAUUAUAUCCUAAUGUUAUAACAUAUAUGCCCGUAUUGAUAUACAUGAGUGUGAUUAAGAACAAAACAUGGCAGCCCAAUGUGUUGAAACAAGAUAAGUGCGC
rnacentral:lncRNA from 1 species